UGACUUUGAGAAGCGUCAAUCUUACCAAUUAAGAUCAAUAGCACAGAAGCUGUGGAUGCAGAGAAAUAUUCAAAGGAAUUAUCGAUCAAAGUACCUAGUGGACUCUCAACACAAUUUGUUUUGACAUAUUCCAAUGGGCCUUCACGUCCCUUUAGCACAUAUAAUGUUCGAAUGCGGGAUACUCUUGUUUUGACUAUGAGAAUGUUCCAGAACAAGGCCUUGGAUGACAAGAGAAAAGGAAGAGCAUAGGCCCUCCUUAAUUGAGUAUAGCUUUAGCGUUAUAGUGAUUAUUCAUUGUUUGUUUUUUUAUAGAAAUUGAGAGGAAAUAAACACAUCAAUGUUUGUAUCUUAGUUUGAAUCAAUAAUGAACGAACAUUUCUAUAAUCUUCUUCCUCGGUUUUAUUUUAGAUUACAUUGUUUAGUACACUGCUAGGAUAUGUACCACACAUCUAUCUAUCGUUAGAUCAACAUAUUGUCAAACUACUUCGGCCAUGAGGCAAAAAGAUUGACUUGGCACCGGAAGAUGGUGGAAAAUUAGUAGCUGAAGCAGCUGCUGUGGAAGCCGGCUGCCUGAUUUCCUCAAUUCGUAAGUCUUCUUAAACCAUUUAAAUAUGACAUUGGAAGCCAAAUGCUAUGACCUCAGCCAAAGAGAGUUUUGGAUUCCUUCUGCAUUUUUUAUUUGAUCUGUAAGUAAUAGCAUCUAAAUUGCCUGUCUCUUAAGAUUUUGACUUGAAACCUUCAUUUGGGAGUGAUAGUAUUGUGAUAUUUGAAGUGAAUUUUUUUUGAGUUUGCAGUCAGAUCUUGUGGGUGAUUUUAACUCCAGUUUUCAUAGAAUCCCCAUUCAUGUGGAUUUGUUGCAAUUUUUGUACCAUCGAUGGUCGGUUAUUUUUUUGCAUAGAAAGUUUCCAAGGUUACAACUUUCUGAUAUUGGACAAUUUUAGUUGUACUGGUAAAUUUCAUACUAUUCUGAAAAGUAGGACUUGUGUGUGUGUUAUUUAAGCUCCAUUAUUUCUGGAAAAAAAAAAUAAAGAAUUCGCUUGAAAAAGAUAAUGCUGAAGGAUGUAUAUAUAGAUAAAAAAUAAAAUAAAAGUUAUAAGCAUAGAUAUUAUAAUCAGAUCAAACCUGUGCUUUAUUGAACUGGAUUGAUCUUAUCUAAAUUAAUGAAAACGACUUUAAAACCCAUGUUUAGCUUUACUAGCUUUGUUGUGGAUUAAUUAAAGAGAUGAAUUAUCUAUGAUAAGUAGACAUAGGAUAGCCUUUGUCCUUUGCGAUGUAUGGUUUAAACUGAUUGGUAGUUUUUCAACAUAUCAGUCUAGUUAACCAAAUAAUCUAUUUAUGCACAAGUAAGCAAUUAGCCUAUAGGAAUUUUCUC